rnacentral:lncRNA from 1 species
UUUUCUCACCCAUAAAAUUUAACAUCUUUAGAGGUUCUCUCAAUAUCUAAAAUGGCAAAAAAAGGAGCAGGGCGCAAAAGGAUUCCAAUGGAGAAGAUAGAGGACUCAAGUAAGGUUGGGGUUACCUUCUCAAAACGAAGGUCUGGCCUCUUUAAGAAGGCAUGUGCGGUCCGCUCUCUCUGUGACUGUCAUACGGCUAUUGUUAUCUUCUCAGGGGACAACACAGUUUAUUCUUNCAGGAACCCUGUUUGAUUAAUCUACUACACUGUCACAGUCAUCUGUUUUCUCACUCAUAAAAUUUAACAUCUUUAGAGGUUCUCUCAAUAUCUAAAAUGGCAAAAAAAGGAGCAGGGCGCAAAAGGAUUCCAAUGGAGAAGAUAGAGGACUCAAGUAAGGUUGGGGUUACCUUCUCAAAACGAAGGUCUGGCCUCUUUAAGAAGGCAUGUGCGGUCCGCUCUCUCUGUGACUGUCAUACGGCUAUUGUUAUCUUCUCAGGGGACAACACAGUUUAUUCUUUCGGUGAUCCCUCC